rnacentral:tRNA from 1 species
UCCCUCAUAGCUCAGUUGGUAAAGAGUCUGCUUGCAGUGCAGGAGACCCAGGUUCGAUUCCUGGGUCGGGAA